rnacentral:lncRNA from 1 species
AAGCAUCCUAAAUUGCCCCAAUCGUUUUUUCAUAAUAUCGAACUCAUCAAUGAUAGAAUCUGUUAAAAGUUUUCGAGUUAUCUCUUUUUUGGUGUAUGCCACCAAGCAAAUUGAAAGAAAAUCAUUUUCUAUUCUGUUGCGAAACCUUGUUUUCACAAUUUUCAUGGCUAAAAAUACUUGUUCGGUUGUUGUAGUAGACACGGGAACAGUUAGCACAAAACGAAUAAUUCUUUUAAGAAGAGGAUAAAUACUUGACUUAUUUGUCUUAGCUAGCACUUGACACAACUCAACUGUAAAAGCUUUCUACAACUUCGUGCUUUGAUGAGCAUAAAGUUGAAAAUGCUCCAAUUGAAUCUUCAUGUGUAGCUUUUCUUGCUCUAUAAAAUCGUCCAAAUAAAAACCAUUCAUAAACUUAUAGAUAUCUUCCACCCAAAAAGCUUUGUAAUUAUCGUGUGGAUCCAAAGCGGAGCUAAGAACAAGUAACUCCACUAUUUCAUCAUUAAAGCGAGAAAUCAUUUCUAUUAGCAAUGAAUUGAUACCAACAAUGAAUAUAUCAAACAGAUAGUGAUGCUCAAU